GGUCCUAUCGUCUAGAGGCCUAGGACAUCGCCCUCUCACGGCGGAGACACGAGUUCGAAUCUCGUUAGGACUACCA
rnacentral:tRNA from 1 species